ensembl:snRNA U2 U2 spliceosomal RNA
AUCGCUUCUUAGCCUUUCAGUUAAGAUCAAGUGUACUGUCUGUCCUUAUCAGUUUAAUAUCUGACAUGUCCUCUAUUUGAAGGCAGCAUAUUAAACUGAUUUUUGCAACAGGGAGAAGGAAAAGGGACCUGCUCUAUCCACUGCACGCAUCCUCUUGGUAUUGCGAUACUUCCAGUAAUGGUGCAUGUCCC